rnacentral:rRNA from 1 species
UACAGAGGGUGCAAGCGUUAAUCGGAAUUACUGGGCGUAAAGCGCGCGUAGGUGGUUACUUAAGUCAGAUGUGAAAGCCCCGGGCUUAACCUGGGAACUGCAUCUGAUACUGGGUGACUAGAGUAGGUGAGAGGGGAGUAGAAUUCCAGGUGUAGCGGUGAAAUGCGUAGAGAUCUGGAGGAAUACCGAUGGCGAAGGCAGCUCCCUGGCAUCAUACUGACACUGAGGUGCGAAAGCGUGGGUAGCAAACAGGAUUAGAUACCCUGGUAGUCCACGCCGUAAACGAUGUCUACCAGUCGUUGGGUCUCUUGAAGACUUAGUGACGCAGUUAACGCAAUAAGUAGACCGCCUGGGGAGUACGGCCGCAAGGUUAAA